UAAAAUAAAUAUUUUAUGGAUUGCGAUUGUGUUUUAGUUUGUCAAACAAAAUUUUGUUUUAAAUAGUUGUCGAAAUCUAGUUCAAAUUUUGGAGAAAUAAGAUUUAGUGAAUUGAUAAGAAAUGUAUUUAGUUGCGUUUGCUCAUUUUAAGGGAUUGCAAUUGUCUUUUGGGUUGUCAAACAUUUUUUGUUUUAAAUAGUUGCUGAAAUCUAGUUCAAAUUUUGGAAAAAUCUGCGUGAUAUAUGGGAUUGAAAUAUAUUUGGAAUGUUUUUCGUUUGUUAAUCAAUUUAUUGCUGAAAAAACUAAUAAUUAAAAGCCAGUGACAGCCAUUGUAAAUAAGUUUCAACUCCAGGAUUUAUUUCACAAAAUGGAUGCAAAAAUAUAUAUAUAGAUUA
rnacentral:sRNA from 1 species